AGUCAACGGGCGUCGGGCAGCAAGCCGCAGCCCAGCGGGAUGAAGGCAGGUCGUUCUCGUUCCCUGAGACAUAGAAGCCCCCUCCCCACCAGCCCUCGCCCUCCGCUGGCUUCCCUUUAGCAGAAAGUUGCUCCAUGCUCCGACAGACACAUCGCCGCGAGAAAAUGCCACCACCCAGACCCAGGGACAAAACGGGGACUGUUUCGGCGCAAGUGGACUUUCCAAAUCCACCCCUCGCGGGCAAAGAGGACAUAAAGCCGAACCGCGUCCCGAGCACCGCCGCGGACUGGGACUGCAUCCCGAGCUCUCAACGCCCCCUUGGGGAAGGCACAACCCCGGCGGUCACAGAGAAGGAAACUGAGGCUCACAGGCCAAGCGGAGGCACCUGCCCAAGGUGAGGCAGCCGUAUUGUGACCAUGAGAACUGAAGAGAAAUGGACUCAGAACCCAGAUAUUGUAAGGCUCCUAGAGAAACCCUGGAAACAUCUACUUAUCAACGUUUUUGCUGGUGAGCUAAUGAAACACCCUAUGGUUAAGCUACUGUGAGUCAGAGUGUUUGUUAUUUACAGCUGAACACAUCCUGAUUCAAGGAGGAAAUAUGUAAAUGUGCAGCAGAUAUGACUUCAUCUCCAAUGUGCUGCCCCUCGAGAGUGUGGUGCCCAAAUUUUCCUCUGUUUUUAGGAUAUUCUUUCUCUGCAUCCUCUACCUGCUUCCCUCUCAAGCUUAGAUAUUGUCUUCUCUGGAUAGCCAACUUCCAAGUUCUAGGCUGGAUCACACACCCCUCCACUGAACUGUCUCUGUUCUGCGUAUACUUGCUUUCAUAGCAUAUGUCACAUGGCAACUUUUCCAUAAGACAUGUGCUCUGUGAGGGCAGGAAAGAAGAAGAGAAAAGGGAGUCAGUGAUAUCGACCUCUUCAGCAGACUUUCACUUUUAUCUCAUCACCCAGACCUACCACACGGUAGGCACCCUAGCUGCAAGGAAGGCUUGCAAAGUGACGAUUUCACCCUUCCAACUUCUAUAGUGGAAGACAAGCAAAGGAGAAGAGUACUGGGAAUGGAAGCAUGGGUUGGCCACCAAGCAGCAUCUGCCACAAAUGACAAAAUAUUUUAAGUUCUUUGAUGUUUUAGCCAUAACAUUAUUUUUAUUUUUUUCUAAAUGGAAAUAUUUUAUUAUUUUUUCCUAAUUCUAAAAGCAACAAAGCUUGUUUUAAAAAUGGAAACCGUAUGGGUUAUGGAGUGAGGUUCCUAAAAUCUUUUUCCUUUAGAUACAAUCUUAUGAACAAUUUAAUCUAUGUAUUAUUUUGGCAUAAAAUAUUUUUUGUCUAAGCAGAAAAAUAUUUUAGACACUUGUUUGUAAAAGUGGGUUAUAUAACAUAUACUGUUUUGUUAUCUACUUGUUUUUUUUAACUUAGGACUAGCAUGGCCAUUGUACAUAGUCAUACAAAUAGAUAUGACUUAACCCUUUUUACCAGUGGGAUAAUUUCAGUAUUAGUUAUCUAUCGCUAUCUCACAAAUUACCACAAACUUAGUGGCUUAAAGCGACACAUAUUUAUUAUCUCCCAAUUGCUGUGGAUCAGGAAUCUAGGCUUUGCUUAGCUGCAUUCUCUGUUUUAGGGUCUCUCAUUAGGCUGAAAAUUGUCUUCCAGGAUUGAGUUAUCUUCUGAAGGCUUGACUGGGGAAGAAAGAAUCUUGCUAUGGUUUGAAUGUCUCCUCCAAAACUCAUGUUGACAUUUAAUUGCCAUUUUGGUGGUAUUAAGAGGUGAGACCACUAAGAGAUAAUUAGACCAUGAGGACUCUGCCCUCAUAAAUGAAUUAAUGUUAUCAUGAGAGUGGCUUUGUUAUUGUGAAAGUAGGUUAUUGUAAAAGCAAGUUUGGUUGUCUCUUCCUUGCUUGCUCUCCCUCAUGUGUGCCCGUUCACCCUUCUACCUUUUGCCAUGGGGUGAUGUGAGAAGAAGGCCCUUGCAAGUUGCUGGAAAUUUGAUGCUGGAUUUCUCAGCCCCCAGAACUGUGAGAAACAAAUUUCUUUUAUUUGUAAAA
ensembl:lncRNA